rnacentral:rRNA from 1 species
UACGUAGGGGGCAAGCGUUAUCCGGAUUUACUGGGUGUAAAGGGGGCGCAGACGGCGAUGCAAGCCAGGAGUGAAAGCCCGGGGCCCAACCCCGGGACUGCUCUUGGAACUACGUGGCUGGAGUGCAGGAGGGGCAGGCGGAAUUCCUGGUGUAGCGGUGAAAUGCGUAGAUAUCAGGAGGAACACCGGUGGCGAAGGCGGCCUGCUGGACUGCAACUGACGUUGAGGCCCGAAAGCGUGGGGAGCAAACAGG